UGCUUCAAAAGACUCCUAGAAAACCCUGUAAGACUUUCAAAAUAAAUCUGUUUGUGUUUCUGAGCCUUCUUGGUCACUAGUGGGCUUAGGCUCAGAGUUACAAGGAUAUACUGAAUUACAGGACAUGUGAAACGAUGACAAGGAGAUCCAGCAAAGCCUGAUAAUGAGAGACUGGAAGAGCCAAACUCUGUUUCUGCUGUCUAUUUGAUCUGUUCAACUCACCAUAAAUUCUGUUGCAUACUGCAUGGGUAAAAAGCUACAGGAGAUAUCUGAGACAUCUUCCCAGGGCUGGCAGCUGCUGCACAGAACCUGUGGGAUGGUGGUGCUUGCCUGGACCAGCAGCUGGAAGUAGAGCAGAGCUCCAUGAAAUGGCACCAGCCACCCACCCAACCUGGGCACAGUUAUCCUGCCUUUAUCAGCACUGACCCUUCUCCUCCACUCCAGAUCACGGGAUAUUCUGAGGAGGAAGGGAUCUACAAGGAUCU